rnacentral:rRNA from 1 species
CAAUAGCGUAUAUUAAAGUUGUUGCAGUUAAAAAGCUCGUAGUUGGAUUUCGGGGUGGCCUGGCUGGUCCGCCGCAAGGUGAGUACUGGUCAGCCGCCCUUCCUCUCGAAAGCCCCGACUGCUCUUUACUGCAGUGGUCGGGUAGUUCGGGACGUUUACUUUGAAAAAAUUAGAGUGUUCAAGGCAGGCUAUCGCCUGAAUACAUUAGCAUGGAAUAAUGGAAGAGGACCUCGGUCCUAUUUUGUUGGUUUCUAGGGCCGAAGUAAUGAUUAAGAGGGACAGUUGGGGGCAUUCGUAUUUAAUUGUCAGAGGUGAAAUUCCUGGAUUUAUGAAAGACGAACUAGUGCGAAAGCAUUUGCCAAGGAUGUUUUCAUUAA